rnacentral:SRP_RNA from 1 species
CCGUGCAGCCGGGGAGGUAGCGGCACCCUCUUUCUGCAAUCCGCUAUAGCAGAGGUCAUGGUUUGUUUCGGGCUUUUUUCUGUAGAGCUGCCCUCUAUAAGUGGCGUUGAUAUCUGGGUCUCACGCAAUAGGAAUCUAUGAACCGUGUCAGGUCGGGAACGAAGCAGCACUAAGUAGAACCUCCUAUGUGCCGUGAGGGUGCCUGGGUUGAGUUAACUGUAGAGGUAACGUCUGUGGAAGGAGGCACAACGCAGACCGCACGG